UGGGGUGGGCGCUCGGAGCGUCAGUGCGGCGCGAAGAUGGCGGCGGCGGCGGCGGGCCCCGGGGCGACCCAGGCACCGAGCUCGCUGCUGCUCGUGGUGGGCGGCGAGUGCGGGUGCUCGGGGCUGCUUGCUUAUGUGCUGGAGGAGCUCGAACGAGGCAUCCGGUCCUGGGACAUUGACCCUGGCAUUUGCAGCCUUGAUGAGCAGCUCAAGAUUUUCGUGUCCCGGCACUCUGCCACCUUCUCCAGCAUCGUGAAAGGCCAGCGGAGCCUGCACCACCGCGGAGACACCCUGGAGACACUGGUCCUCCUGAAUCCAUCAGACAAGUCCCUGUGCGACGAGCUCCGGAACCUUCUGCUGGACCCUGCCCCUCAUAAGCUGCUGGUAUUGGCUGGGCCCUGCCUGGAAGGGACAGGGGAGCUGCUGCUCCAGACGGGGGGCUUCUCGCCCCGCCACUUCCUCCAGGUCCUAGGGGACAAAGAGAUCCGGGAUCUUCUGGCGUCCACACCCCCACCUGCAGACCUGCCGAAGCUCACCAUCACCUGCCCAACCUUCGGUGACUGGGCCCAGCUGGCACCUGAGGUGCUGGGCCUCCAGGGCGCGCUCCGGGUGCAGUGGAACCCACCCGUGCAGCUGCCGGCUUCCGAGGGCCUGCGCCAGUUCCUGGAGUACGUGGCUGAGUCGCUGGAGGCCCCGUCUCCCUUUGAGCUGCUCGAGCCGCCAGCGUCCGUGGGCUUCCUCAGGCUCGCCCGGCCUUGCUGCUACAUCUUCCCCGGCGGCCUCGGCGACGCCGCCUUCUUCGCCGUCAAUGGCUUCACCGUGCUGGUCAACGGUGGCUCCAACCCCAAGUCGAGCUUUUGGAAGCUGGUGCGGCACCUGGACCGGGUGGACGCCGUGCUGGUGACCCACGCUGGCGCCGACAGCCUCCCGGGCCUCAACAGUCUUCUGCGGCGCAAGCUGGCCGAGCGAGAUGAGGCGGCGGCCGGCGGGGGCUCCGGGGACGACAGGCUCCGCAGGCUCAUCUCCCCCAACCUGGGGGUCGUGUUCCUCAACGCCCGCGUGGCCAUCUCGCGUCUGGUGAGCGGCGAGGACGAGGCGGAGCUGGCCCUGAGCCUCUUGGCCCGACUAGGCAUCGCGCCCCUGACUCUGAACCGCGGGCCGCUCCCGGCCGAGCCCACCGUGCUCUUUCAGAAGAUGGGCGUGGGCCGGCUGGACAUGUAUGUGCUGCACCCGCCCGCGGCUGGUGCUGACCGCUCGUCGGCCUCCGUGUGCGCCCUGCUAGUGUGGCACCCCGCGGGCCCCACCGAGAAGGUGGUGCGCGUGCUGUUCCCCGGCUGCACACCUCCUGCCCGCCUCCUGGAUGGCCUGGUCCGCCUGCAGCACCUGGGGUUCUUGCGAGAGCCUGUGGUGACCCCCCAGGACCUAGUGGGGCCUCGGCGAGCUGAGAGCAAGGAAAGCGUGGGCUCCCGGGACAGCUUAAGAAGAGAAGGCCGGACAACGGCACCGGCCAGGCCUGCCCCGGAGCGCCCUGUGGGGGCCCGGAAGGACCCGCCUCGAGUCGAGGCCCCCCGCAGGGCUGAGAAAGAAGCCAGGCUCCCCCGGGAGGUGAAGAAGGACCCCAAGCCAAGCGUCCCUCGGACCCAGCCCCAGGAGGUGCGCCGGGCAGCCUCCGCUUCGGUCAGCGUGAAGAAGGCGGGUGCCCAGGCCGCCCCCAGGCCCCGCAGGGCACCCAAUAUCCCCCGCCCGGGCGUCCCGCCGGCGGAGAACGGGCCCCACAGCCCCCCCAGCUUCCGCUGUGGAGAGGCCAGCCCGCCGCCGCCAGAGGCCUGCGGCUCCCCCGCCUCCCAGCUGGUGGCCACCCCCAGCCAGGAGAGCAGCCUGGAGCUGGGGCUGAGCCCGGCCGGGGAGGACGGCGGCACCUUGGAGGAGAAGACGCUGGAGCUGCUUUUGGGUGCCAGCACCCCCCGGCCGCGUACACCCUCGCCUACUGGAGCCCACCAGGGCCCGGUGGAGGGCAGCGGGCGGCUGUCGCUGAGCCCGCUGCGGGGCGGGGAGGCUGGGCCGGAUGCCUCGCCCACGGUGACCACACCGUCACUGCCUGCCGAGGUGGGAUCCCCGCACUCCACGGAGGUGGACGAGUCCCUGUCCGUCUCCUUCGAGCAGGUGCUGCCGCCGCCGCCUGCCACCGCGGGCGAGGCUGGGCUGAGCCUCCCCCUCCGCGGCCCCCGGGUACGGCGAUCGGCCUCCCCGCACGACGUGGACCUGUGCCUGGUGUCACCCUGUGAGUUUGAGCACCGGAAGGCUGUGCCCGUGGCGCCCGCGCCCGCGUCCCCGGGCAGCUCUGAUAGCAGUGCCCGGUCCCAGGAGCGGGCGGGGGCCCCGGGAGCUGAGGAGACCCCACCCACCUCCGUCAGCGAGUCCCUGCCCACCCUGUCUGACUCGGACCCCCUGCCUGCCGCCCCCGGCAUCGCGGACUCGGAUGAAGACAUGGAGGGCGCAGGGGUCCCUCGCCGUGACCCGCUGCCCGAGCCCCUCAAGUUCCCCCCGCCGCUGCCCACCCCACCCAGCAUCUGCAUGGUGGACCCCGAGGUGCUCCCCCCUGAGCAGGCCCGGCUGACGGAGGGCCACAGCCGCACCCGGAAGUCCGGGGUUCGCCCUCACCCCAGCACUGCCGCCUCCAAAGCCACUCCCGCGACCACUGCCAAAUCCAAGGGACUGGCCGGUGGAGACCGGGCCGGUCGGCCCCUCGGCACCCGGAGCGAGCCCAGUGACAAGGGAGGUCGGGCACCCCUGUCCAGAAAGUCCUCGGUCCCCAAGACAACCACUCGGGGCCCAUCCGGGUCAGCUGGCAGCCGGCCAGGUGGGUCAGCAGCCCCUCCCGGCUCCCCCGUCUACCUCGACCUGGCCUACCUGCCCAGCGGGAGCAGCGCCCGGCUGGUGGACGAGGAAUUCUUCCGAAGGGUGCGUGCGCUCUGUUACGUCAUCAGCGGCCAGGACCAGCGCAAGGAAGAGGGCAUGAGGGCUGUCCUGGACGCACUGCUGGCCGGCAAGCAGCAAUGGGACCGUGACCUGCAGGUGACCCUGAUCCCCACCUUCGAUUCCGCGGCCAUGCACGAGUGGUACGAGGAGACACAUGCCCGGCACCAGGCACUGGGCAUCACCGUGCUGGGCAGCAACAGCACCGUGUCCAUGCAGGACGAGGCCUUCCCCGCCUGCAAGGUCGAGUUCUAGCUCGGCGCCUGACACCCGCCCCCGCGGCCCGGCAUCCGCCCCGACCCUGAGAUUCACCUGCGUCACAAAUAAACCAGAGAUACCUCAUGCUCGUGGCAGGAGAGUCACAUGCCACAGGGAGGCCUUAGAGGAGAACCUGAAACCCAGAGAUUGCAAAACAUCCAUUCCCGAAGAACCCCUUGCCUGCUCUCUGCACGCGUGGAGAUAACCUAGCUAGAACAUUAGACGAGGUGCCCUGCGUCCUGGGUUGAACGGCGACCCGAAAAGCGUACGUCUGAGCCCUGACACCUGGUAUCUGUGAGUGUGACUGUGUCUGUGUCUGGAGACAGGGAUUUUCAGAUGCAGUUAAGUGAAGGCUCUUGAGAUUCUCUGGAUGGGCCCUAAGUCCAGUGACGCGUGUCCUUAUAAGAGACAGAGGAGGUGACACAGAG